rnacentral:rRNA from 1 species
UAGAAGCAGCCAUCCUUCAAAGAAAGCGUAAUAGCUCACUGAUCGAGUCCUCAUGCGCGGAAGAUGUAACGGGGCUAAGUCAAUAACCGAAAGCGCGGAUUUGCACGCAAGUGCAAGUGGUAGGGGAGCGUUCUGUAAGCCUGCGAAGGUGGUUCGAGAGGACUGCUGGAGGUAUCAGAAGUGCGAAUGCUGACAUGAGUAACGUUAAAGCGGGUGAAAAGCCCGCUCGCCGUAAGCCCAAGGUUUCCUGCUCUACGUUCAUCGGAGCAGGGUGAGUCGGCCCCUAAGGCCAGGCUGAGAAGCGUAGUCGAUGGGAAGCAGAUUAAUAUUUCUGCACCAUGUGCAAGUGCGAUGGGGGGACGGAGUGCGAAAGAUCAUCCGGGUGUUGGAUGUCCCGGUUUGUGAGUGUAGAAGGCCGACAGGCAAAUCCGUCGGCGGAUCUUCGAGACAAAGCAUCGAGGUUCUACGGAACCGAAGUGAUCGGAAGUGCUUCCAGGAAAAGCCUCUAAGCUUCAGCUUGCAUAUGACCGUACCGUAAACCGACACUGGUGGGCGAGUUGAAUAUACUCAGGCGCUUGAGAGAACUCGGGAGAAGGAACUCGGCAAAUUGACACCGUAACUUCGGGAUAAGGUGUGCCUUUGUAGCGUGAAGAGAGAAACACUCGGAGCGUGAAGAGGCCUCAGAGAAUCGGUGGCUGCAACUGUUUAUUAAAAACACAGCACUCUGCAAAGACGAAAGUCGACGUAUAGGGUGUGAUGCCUGCCCGGUGCUGGAAGAUUAAGUGAUGGGGUGCAAGCUCCUGAUCGAAGUCCCAGUAAACGGCGGCCGUAACUAUAACGGUCCUAAGGUAGCGAAAUUCCUUGUCGGGUAAGUUCCGACCUGCACGAAUGGCAUAAUGAUGGCCACACUGUCUCCUCCCGAGACUCAGUGAAGUUGAAAUGUUUGUGAUGAUGCAAUCUCCCCGCGGCUAGACGGAAAGACCCCAUGAACCUUUACUGUAGCUUUGCAUUGGACUUUGAACCGAUUUGUGUAGGAUAGGCGGGAGGCAGAGAAAGCGCAACGCCAGUUGUGCCGGAGCCGACAUUGAAAUACCGCCCUGAUUUGUUUGAGGUUCUAACCGCGACCCGUAAGCCGGGUCCGGGACCGUGCAUGGCAGGCAGUUUGACUGGGGCGGUCUCCUCCUAAAGGGUAACGGAGGAGUACAAAGGUACGCUAGGUACGGUCGGAAAUCGUGCUGAUAGUGCAAAGGCAAAAGCGUGCUUGACUGCGAGACCGACAAGUCGAGCAGAUGCGAAAGCAGGUCUUAGUGAUCCGGUGGCUCUGUAUGGAAGGGCCAUCGCUCAACGGAUAAAAGGUACUCUGGGG